rnacentral:rRNA from 1 species
AAACGCGAUAGGUAAUGUGAAUUGCAGAAUUCCGUGANUCAUCGAAUCUUUGAACGCACCUUGCGCUCCAUGGUAUUCCGUGGAGCAUGCCUGUUUGAGUGCCGCGAAUUCUCCCUCCCCUUACGGUGGCCGAAAGGCCGAAGUAGGGCGGACGGGGUAGGAUGGGUGUUUGCUGCCUGGGGAUUGUACCAGGCUCGCCCGAAAUGCAUAAGCGCCAGGACCCUCGCUACCGCUCUCUAGGGAAGAGUGGCUAAGCGACCGCUGAGCAUGGCAUGAUACGUCAUUUGCUGUGUGUGGGCGGCCGGUUGGAGAGGUGUCUGCUUUACCAGCCCUAUUUUAAUUCUGGUCUCAAAUCAGGUAGGAUCACCACGCUG